CCACUGUAUGGGAGGGGCUAAUGGAGCUGGCAUACUACAUUCUUCGGAGUGCCAAUAGACUCGAAAGUAUGGUCUUAGAUCCAAAGAUAAGGAUUGGGGGUCCUCAGCUGGAUGGUUGGAUGAUUGAUAUUGGUAGGGAGACGAUCAAAAUAUUUUUGAGGGAGAGGAGUUUCAGAGCAUUAUUACUAUUCUGUAAGAAUGGUAAGAUAGGCCACAGGAUUUUGGUGGUCACACCAAGUGGCCAUGUUUGAUUAUGCCAUAGGUUUGACCAGUAUGGUCAUAAAUGUUUGUUGUUUUCAUUUCCGACCUCAGGAAAUGUAAAUUAAUACUCCCUCCAUCCAUUUUUAAUUCGCGUAUACUUCUCGGCAGUGACCAAAUUAAGUUUGAAAAAAAAACCGUUUCAUUUUUGCUGUUGCAUGUGACGUGGCCCACGCCUGCAUGCAUGCGAAUAAAAGAUAGGACACAUGAAGUUUAGUUAGUAAGGGUAAGAAUACCAAAAUACUUUUGAGCAUUCUUCUGUCAUUAAUGUAACUGAAAUAAAGGAGGAACUGUCAGUGGAAUUAAUAUGAUUUAAUCUGGGUGUUUUGUUUAUGUGAACUAAUUUUAGUUUCUUCAUUUUAUUUUAUUUUAGUUCUUAAAAUGAGAAAUACAUAAAAACAGAGUUUUAGUUUUGGUAUCUACCAAUUUAGAAACUACGAUGGAACAAAAUGGAGGACUAAAACUUAGUAUCUAGAAACUAAACAUCUCUUAGGGGGUGUUUAAAUGUACUAGAGCUAAAAUUUAGUCUCUAGAAACUAAACAUCCCUUAGUGAGGCAAGUCCUAAACGUAUCCUCUUGGAUGGUCGCGUCCAUGUCCUCGAGCAGUGCGGUCUUGCUCAAGCAGCUUUUUGUAGCGAUUAAAUACAUAUAGGACAUGCAUGCGUCAGCAAGUGACUUAGUGUCGUACCCGUGAAGUGCGGACUGUUGAGAAACUCUAAUGACGGGUUAUGUGUGCAAAUACCAAAUAUGCUCCUGAGGACUAUCACGUCUCUAUAUAUAGAAUAUGUACCCCUUCGUAUGGAAUAGAGAACAGAAAGAGGCCAGAGGCCCAACCCUAUAUCUUGUGUCCCGUGUGUUUCCUCUCUCGUGCUUAUGGGAAGGGAGACGGGUCCUCUACAACUUCUUGCGCCUCUACUGUUGACGGGAGGGAAGGGAGCGGAUCUGGUGAUCCGUGGUAACGUAGUUCUCAACACGUUAUCAGCACGCUCUAUCUCAACGUUGCUGCGAGAUCAGAUCUGCAUCAACUCUUCGUCACGCCGGCAGGUCCUUGGCCUAGCCGAACUGUCCUACGCGACAGGCUUCGAUUCUCCCUCUACGCAAUCGAGCGGUAUGUUUUCUUGACCCGCUGGUGUGAUCUGUGCGCCACCAACUUGUUGUCUCCGUCAUGAUGUUGCGUCCGUGCCGGAAGCGCCCGCACCCGUGGCAGCUAGCUCUCACCAGAAGAUGGUCAGGUCGCGCUAGCUAGGCAUCCAGAUUUGGAUGCUGAUCGACGACGCCGCGAGCUCCAGCAGAGCAAGCGCAUCUGGUAACAACUCACGAGAAAAAAGUGCAAGCCUGGGGAUAGGGGCGGCGGCGGCGGAAGUUGGUGUCGCGUACCUGCUAUUGGCCUUCUGCCCCGACGGUCAAAAUGGCCAUGCGCGGGUCCCACCACUCCCUCGUCUCGUGGCUGCAUGCGCGCACCCGUCGAUCCACGGGAUUCCUUUUCGCGCCCCCGCGCGCUGCUAGAGACUGGAGCACGACGUCUGUCACGCCGUAUGAAUGGUUGCAUGCUGCAUGCAAGCCACUGACGGUUUUUUUCCCGUACCUGGUCAAAGCGGUUGCCUAUUAUUGCGGUGACUGAGAAAAAAACAAAGCCAAAGCCGCAUGCCUACAUGCAGCUGAUUGACUAGAGGUGUAUGCAUAGGAAACUUGCGAGCGGUGGAAGAAAAAAAUAUCUCUCCAUUAUACAUGUUUUAGUUUAUAUACAUGCUUCAUGCUAUUUUAUCCUAUUUUCCUAAUAAAAAUAAUAAAUAGAAUCAAGCAUGGUUUGUGUUGCGAUUUCUACUUUAAUUAAUUAUUUCUAGUCGCAAAUAAUUAAUAGAAAAAUGUGUGCUUAAACAUGAGAACAUUUUUUUUACAUCAGAUGUGUUAUGUUUAUGGAUUAAAUCUGGUAUUAUUUUUCUGCUUUUAUUUCCGUAGUAAAUAAUUAGCAGAAAGAUAUGAAGGAUAUAUUGUGCAUUCUUAAAUCGCUCUAAAUAUUUAUAUUGUGUUGAGCUUUUAAACUCACGAUGAGUGAUUAAAUUGUAUAGUGGGUACUCGGACACGUCGACCAGGCUGCGUUAUUAAUCGGCUAAGUUAUGGCAUCAACUAUGCAUUGGCUGCGUCCUGGCAACACGACGCAUUAUUUGUGUCGUACGAACUUGGCUGCGUCAUGUGAUUGCUAGCACUCUCGUUUAUUCGGACAGCUCCCGUUGAGUCGAACCGACAUCACUGAGUCACGUAUUUUUCGCAUGCCCUGUAGGCACUGUAUGUCUGCCGUGAUCAUUGAGCCACAAUUGCGUCUGAUGCGCACGUUGUGUGGAAUUAUCGUGUACCCCGAUUACCGAGCCAUAAUUGUGCAUGUUACAUUUAUUACGAAGGCUUGUUGUGUUGUCGUGGUCCUGAUGGCCGCGCACGCGUUGACCCCAGAUACGCUAGAGCUUGUACUCGCGUGGAUUGUGGUGAGUUGUUUAAGGCCCUGAAGUCAUAUUAUGCACAGCCUUCCUAAAAAAAUUUUGUUUGGCUCUAUAUUUUAUUUGAUUGUGUUGUGUGGCAUCAUAUAUUUAUAUAUAUCACUAAGUGGCCCUACACAGUUGUAUCAAGCUCUAUAGUGCUUGAAAAUCUGGGAAAUUAAAUUGAAAUACAAUUAAACCCAGAUAAGUUAAUUUUCUGCUAUCUCCUCAUGCAUAAAGUUUUACCCGAAGUAACCCGAAGAUAUAUAAUAUAAUGCAUGAAAGCCUUUUUGGCAUAGAAGACAUCACAAAUUGGGAUUCUAUUAGUAAGCAAAAGGCCCUAUCAAAUAAUUUAAGACUAUAAAUCUCAGCCAUACAUUGCUCAACCAGAUGUUGGCACAUUGCUCUCUUUGUCGCUAAAUGACAUGAAGCAAACUAUGAGAUAAAAGGACAUGUAAUCGCCAGCAACACGAAGUUGCGAGUAUUCCGAGAGGUUAUUCUGAAAAAAAAAUCACUAUGUUGGUGUGAAAACCAUAGUGUGUUUCCGUCGAACCACUUUACUCGUUCUAUCUAGAACCUCUAUGCUUGUGUCGCAUACAUCUCUCGGAUAUGUAAAUACUUAUAGUCACUGAAUUGAUUCGGGAUAGUCCUUUGACAAGUUUGGUAUACACUAUAAGCUAAAUGGUAAAGGUCGGUCCUGAAUAGACGCAUACCUGGGGUUUAUGUAGCCGAACUACACUGAAUUCCACCCUUUGGCAUGCUUACCAUUAUCUACCUCUGAUCUACCAGAAGUGAGAAGAGUAGGCAAAUAACUAUGAAAUCCCACAUCACCACAGAGCUUGAAGCUAAAUUAUACAUUAACAUGUUCUUGGUCCUUGGAGCCAGAAGAGUCAUAUGUCUUGAUCAUUAGACUACUAGUGAUGAUAAUUUGUGAUAGAAAUAUGAAGAUCUUGUAGAGACCUGUUGUAUCCUCUCUACUCCUGAUGAUUUCUUCAUAUGAGAGCGGUACUAUCUGUUGUUGAAGAUGGAUCCUAGGCGGAUACCAGUCUUGUUUCGUUCUUGCCAAGCAGUUAUCGUCAUUUGAUUCAUCAAAAGCUAGUUAUAUGGUGAUUUUCCUAGAUAAAAUGAAUUCUUGGCCUUGUCUGUUCUAUUCCAAAGCUUCUUUUUUGUGCUGAACAAUGAAGAGAUCGAAAUAAUGCUAUAUAGAACAAUUUGGUAUAUAACAUGAUGAGAAAUGUUUGCCCUGCUGGCAACACCACAAAUAAUUAACUAUUGUUAUAAGUUCUCUCUCAAAAUUAUUAUACCUAAAAUGUUGCAUAAAUUGAUACCCAAUUUUAGAGCAGUAUGAGUAAUCGGGUAAACCAUGGGCAGUGAUAAAAACGAGCUGGACUAUACAUCUCUGCAUAUAAAAAUCUUUGCUUGGCAGCAUUGGUCUGAUGUCGUGCACUUCACUAGCAAUAUAAACACUCACAUUUUUCCUAUGUGCUUAAAAGCACAAUGCAACCUGUGAAUGACUUUGUGAACGUUAGAUCCUGAUGGUCAUUUUACUUGUUGAUCUGAAGUCAACUAAUGGCUCCAAACGAAUGGUAUGCAUGAGCCCCUGAAGGACCCUUAUGGAUAAAAUAGUGUUGCGCAUAUCAGUGUAAAUCUUAAUGAUUGACUAUGCAUUUGGUAGUAAUAAAAAUAAGUUUGCAGAAUUGUAACCAUGAAGCAACUUGUUGUUGCGUGUCUCGCUGGAUGUUGAGACUAACCCUUCAUGUUGAAGGACAAAUAUGUAGUAUUCAUGCCACUACAUUAAUCUAAGUCCAAAGCUCACUGCAUAAAACUCCUAUCUGUAGCGUGCGUAAGAUUUCCCAAAUAAAUCACCACAAUAUCAUACACUAGCCACAAACUAGAUGAUUGUGGUUGAUGAUUUUAUUUGUAUGCUUUUAGAACAUCUCGGCAUUAUGGGGAGGAAUGCCCAUAUAGUGUAAUGGCUCAAUAUUCUAUUAAACGCACAAAAGCCAAACUGAACCCGUCGUUCGGAGUGUACUCCUGCAUAUAUGGAGUUUGCCAGAAAUCGUUGAGGAGUAACCAUAUUGGUUUGAGUGCUUCUACCAGUUGUAGAUGUGAAUAUACCCGGGAUUAAUAUCAUAUCCACAUUUGACUUAUUGGCAUUUGAUCUAUUCUUAGGGACGCCUGCGAAUAUGAUCCAUCGGCCUUAGUCAAAGCAUAUGUUCUGAUUGCAGAUUCACUUGAUUUGUAAUAACUCUCCUCCGAUGAACUCGCCCUGCUGGUGAUUUGCCUCACGAAGAGGUUCAUCUUGAUGAUGAAAUUUCUAGCAAUGCGCACAAUAUCAUUGUGUUAGGAAUACAGAACAAUGAAUCUUUUGUUUUUGGGAAAUGACGAAGAUCGUUAUUAAAUGUGGGAGACAAAUGUGUUGACACCUAUCUUGUCUCUAUAGAUUGCAAAGGGAUCCAAAACAAAGUCCUAGGCAUGAGUGCUUUAAGCUCUCUUAUCAGGUCAUUGAUAAAUGCAAUCGAGGCUGAACCAAUAAUCGCAAAAUGAAAGUCACGAGCUUGAAGUUCGGACAUUUAUGGGCACUAUUGAAAUAAUGUGUGGUGAAUGCGAUGGUUCAAGUGGUCUUGUGAGAGACCCAUCCCACAUGUGUUGAAUAAACAAUGUUCCGCUAUGUAAUAUAUCUGGCAAAUGGCAUGAAUUAAAACAUGCAGUUAAUAGGAUUCUGAAGAUCCAUCAUGAGAUCCUAUGCAGUUUCAUAUCUUUUAUUUAUAAAUAUGCAACAUAUAAAUCUCAUACUGAAUAAUAUAUUCCUGAUGAAUGAUCACUCUCCUAUGUAGGGAGAAUAUCUCCUAGUUGAGAUUAUAAUUCCGAGAUGGAGUCUUUCCAGAAGAAACAAAGUCUGUGUUGAACACUAAAGUUUGAUAACCCCUAUAAAGGGAUAAAGACCCAUACAUACCCGAAAAGGAAUAAGAUGAGGUACCAAAGGACUUGAAGUUCACCGAAUAAGCACAUGUGCAUUCCACGAGUUUUACUCAUGGUAUUUUCCACUUGAUGUGGAAUUACGGUAUCCUCUAAAGCCCUGAUGACAGAAACCUAUAAGGUUUAGGUGUUACUGGCAAAAUAUCCCCGUCGUGCCAUAAUGACAUACUAUAACGAUGUAUCUGAUCGAUGAAAAAUCCCUAAUGGAUUACGAUCUAUGAUGGACUUUUGUUACACCAUCAUAGAUGUUGCAAUGGAUGAACGCCUCGAGCGAUGUGUCGUAUUUAGAAUAAGUACUAUUGCAACUAUAUUAUCCCCUAAGUCCUAUAGAAUGACAUGUUACUUGUUUUGCACAACUAUGUAUAAAUUGUGGUGUAAGAUAGAAAAUGAUAGCACCCCAAACUCAUCCAUUUUCGUUAUUUCAGAUGAACAAUGAGACAUAUAUCUUGAAGAAUAUGCUUGAGUUAUGAGGGAUAAUAACUUUGACAAAUGUCAUCGUCAGAGAGAGCGAAUUCUUAUAUUGAUCAUAAUCGUGAGACAGUAAAUGUCAUAUUCUAUGCCUUGAAGGCGUCAGCUUGAUGAUCAAUAUGUGAACCUUUAUGGAAGUUUCUAUCAAAUAUAUAGAUCCAGUCGAUCGAACACCAUCAAUCAAAGUGGCUUAUUUAUGUUGAUACGUGCACUUACCUCGUAUAUCCUAGAAGUGAGUAGAGGUAAAGUUCAUAAAAUAGUCCCUGCAAGGAUAUGCAAUCCGUUUGCUAAUUCUUUAUGUGCAUAUACUUCCAGAAGAUGUUUUGCCUUAUUGAUACGGUUUUGCAAGGAUCAGGGGGAGCAUAUUUCUAAAGUUAGCCUUUAUAGAAGAUUCAAUGGAAUCUAGAUCUAGAAGAUCGAAAUAUGUCAUGAUGACAAUUGUUGUACUCUUUUUCCUUGGUGAGUUUUCUUGAAGUUUCUCACAUGAGGUGUUUAACGAGUCAACAAAGUGCAAAUGCAAUUUGCGUCACCAUGUACUCUUUCUCCAUAUUUUCCCACUGGGUUUUUGGGAGUUUUAACGAGGCAUGUGCUGGUCGCGGUAUUCGCCCAAGGGGGAGUGUUGAGAAACCCUAAUGACGGGUUAUAUGGGCAAAUACCAAAUAUGCCCCUGAGGGCUAUCACGUCUCUAUAUAUAGAACAUUUACCCCUUCGUAUGGAAUAGAGAACAGAAAGAUGCCAAAGACCAACCCUAUAUCAUGUGUCUCGUGUGUUUCCUCUCUCGUGCUUAUGGGAAAGGAGACAGGUCCUCUACAGCUUCUUGCGCCUCUACUGUUGAUGGCAGGGAAGGAAGCAGAUCUGGUGAUCCGUGGUAAUGUAGUUACCAACACGGGUCCCAAACCGGUACCGAUUAUGCGUGGACGAUCAGUCUGCAUAGCUUGGAAUUUGGAAAUUUUGGUCUGCUUCAUUUUUUCUCUCGCUCAUUUUUGGCCCAACGGCCCAGCCCAUUGAGUAAAGCAACUGGUGCCCUAUAUGCAAAAAGACAGGACUGCCUCUGCACACCGCCACUCGCCCACACGCGAAGGCACCUAGCAGCCGCCACUCGCCGAACUGAGGAACACGCCGGGCGACGGGAUACAGCAGCAGCGCGCCCCUCUAUGCCCGACGCGACGGCGCCCUGCAGCUGCAGGCACGGCUCCACACCUCCACUCUUCUCCUCCGUCUCCGUUCAUCUCUGCUGAGUAGUUGUGGUUGUGGCGUGUGGAUUAAUCGCGAUUAAUCGAUCUGAUCGGCGCUCUGGCGAUCAGAAACGAUCGACCGAUUAGAAAACAUUGGUGCUCGGGCAUCCGCAUCUGUCAACACCCCCCUCUUGUUCUGUUCCGGUACUGCCUUUUCAGCCCUCGAGUCCUACUGUAGGUGUUGAAGUAGUAAUUUGUUUUGUGCGCGCAAGUUCGAUUUCAUGUCUGCAUGUCAAUAGCUUUCGAUUUUUUUGGUCAUCUAUUUAGUGCAGUUUUGAAGAAGUUCAUUUUUUUACCGAUUUUUCGUUACUCCAUCUGUGUGUGCCUGGGAAUUGCGGAUCCCCACCCACCCCACCACGUCUUCUGAAGGGAGUUCAAGAGGAAACCCUUGAAUUCUAUGGGGUUUGUCCGCUCUGAAAUUUCUUUUGCUACUUGUUUCGAUUUUUUCCGAAGUAUCCAAACAAGACCUCACGAAUCUGCUUAUGUAUCAAUAAUGUGGGUAUAUCUAUUUGUUUGUUCUCAUAGUCUGGCAUAUGUAUUAUAGAUAAACCUGUUCCAAUGGCCAAACAAAAAGAGGGUGUGGACAAAAGAACUGCUAGGAAGAUGAUCCGAUCUACGGAAGGCUGUGCAAAGAGCAUUACUUUCGAGAGGAACAACAAAUCAGACGCUGUGCAGCUUCACGAUCUGCCGAAUGUAAGAGUAAUUCGAAAUAGUUCAAUGCUCCUUUUGCAGUAAGCAUAUAUGUGAAAUGGUUCAAAAGAGUUUGAUAGGACCAGGUAAUCAGUGGUUCAGUUUACUCGGCUGCUUACUCACUUACUACGUGCAGGACAUCCUAGGUAGCAUACUAUCACGGUUGACAUUCAGAGAAUCCUCACAGAUGGGCCUUGUUUCUCAUACCUGGCGGCGGCUGUGGAGAAGCUGUUGCCGGAAACUGGUCUUCACCAGUGCCACCAUGUUCCAACCCGGAAAUAGGAGCAUCAAACAUACAAGGACCAACUUUGCCAUGAGAGUCAACAGUUUCUUGCGUCAGCUACACACUCAUCCUACUCUUAAUAAGUUUGUUAUUAAGUUCGGGCUGCGCAGGAAGCACACUCGCCAUGUCAACAGAUGGAUUCGCUUCUGCUCCGUGUCGCGAGCAAGACACAUCACUAUUAAUUUCACUCCUGGAGUGAAAGAUUUUUUCAUGGGUCCAGCCAACAGCAAGUACAUCUUCCCCCUGAACGUUUUCAGUGGUCCAGAAGGCUCCUCUACACAUGUCAGAACUCUUCAUCUGGGCUAUGUCUGUCUGGACACAACCUCGUCUGAUUUCAUGAUCUUUGCAAAUCUGAAGAAGCUCACUCUGCACAAAAUUUCCUUUUUGGGAGACCUCCAGUGCCUGAUGCUGCCAGAAUGCAAUUCUCUUGAGUGUCUGAGCAUCAGCUUCUGUUCCUUGCCUGGUUUAAGCACAUGCCAACCGCUGCAACGUCUGCGAUGUGUUCGUUUGCACUACUGCUAUCUAAAAAAGAUUGAGCUGGAAGCUCCAAAUCUAACAUCGUUUGACUUGACCAACCAACCAAUUCCAUUUGUGCUUGGUGGAUCUCUGAAUGUAAUGGAAGCCAACAUUAAACUGUUAGCUAAGGACUCACCUUAUGGUGAUAAUCUGGACUACAUCUACACUGAGCUUCCUGCUGCGCUGUCUCAUGUGCAUAAACUCUCGAUAACCUCGGGUCUCUUCGUUUUUGAUCAGGUUUUGUCUGUUGCUGAUAGCACUUAAGUUCAUUCAACUAUUACUUACCUUUAUUUGCACCUGACAUGUUUGUUCUUCAUCUCAUACAUAUUUUGACUCUCAUGGUUAUAUUUCAGCUGCAAGGGUUUUCCAAAACCUCAGCCAGAUUCAUCAAUCUGAGGCAUCUGACCAUGUAUUUGCCUCUUUAUGGGGAACCUAAGUCAAUUAGUGGGAUUCUUCGCUUGGCCUACCUACUGGAAUUGGCCCCAGCUCUAGAAGAAUUGGAAUUGCAUGUGAGUGGCUUACUAACUCUAUAAUCUGUUAUAGAUUUUCUCAAGGUAUGCCUUAUCUGUAGAAGUUUUUGUAGAGCAAUUGCAGCACUAGUGUACCAGGCAUAUUGUUUAUCAUCUUUGCUAAUUUUGAAUUGCCUGAAUAUUUAUUAUCCCUCAUUAAUCCAAAACUCUACAGUUCAAAAUUGCAGUAACAUAAAAGUUGUUGAGUGUUGAUGUUGUAGUUAAAAAAAGAUUUAAAAAGACAAAAAAGUAGCAAUGUUGCAAUCAAUUGAACAUUGAACACUAUUGUACUUCAUUACCAUACAAGCCGAGGUGCCCAUGCGUUGGUAGUUUGCUUCAAGGUCUCGAAUACAUGAUAGUUUAAAAUUGUAUUGCUGGAACUGGGUGAUGUUCCACAGCUUAGAAAGUGGUCUUAUAAGUAGGCCUGUGGGUACCGUGUACGAAUGUAAAGGAGCAAGUCGAAGUGGUUUCAGCCAAAACAAAUAGACUAACUAUGUACAUUUCAUCUUCUCCACUUCCUCACGCAGCCACAGCCAUUAAUUCCCUCACGCUGUCAUGAGCUCACGGUCGCACGACUCCUUCCCCCACUUCCUCUAUGCCUCCCACAACGGUGACCCAUUAGGCGAAACAACACUUCUACGCCUCCCUCGACGGACAACCCACCCGAGCCCACACAUCUCCUGCAACGCUGCUCCUCCAGCGACGCUGCUCCUCGCUCCUCCCACAACGGCGAAGUGCAGUUCUCCUCCCGCGAAACGGCAAGGGUGGCACUGCUCCUCGCCGCCUCCAUGACGGCGCUCCUCCCACGACCGGCUGCUUUGGCCACCCAACCAACAUUGUGCAUGCCAAGAAAACAAUGGUGUGGUUGAUGUCAUAAUAAACACAUAUUGGUUUGAGCUCUCACAUAAAACAAUUUUUGUAACAUUCACUAGUGAUGGACAGAGAAUAGACAAAAAAAUACAAGGAACAACAGCCAAUGAUGUAUAGGCCUGUGGCAUUGGGCUGGCUGGUUAAGCAUAUGGCCAACAGUCAUUUGUUGUCAUGUGGCCAAAUGUGAAUAGGUGAGGGUAGUAAAAUGAACCUUUUCCCUUCAAAGAAAUCAAACUUUUAGCCUUUUAUUUUACCGUUCCCAUCGUCUUCUCCAGCCAUUCUACAAGCAGAAGCGCUCCUCUUCAGUUCUGCCUGCGCAGAUCUAUCUUGGUUGUGCCCUCCCCCCCCCCCCCACCCCACCAUAGCCACAGUCCUCAUACUCCCCUGCUUUCUUCCCCCCUCUCUGGCUUCUUUUUAACGAGGUUGUUCCCGCAUUCCCGGAACGUCCUGGUUUCUACGUUUGGGACCAAACCAAACAUUUAGCUCAAUAUCGCCACACUUAGGCUUUAAACCCAAAAAGGGCAAGCUAGAUGUGGCGGUGAGAGCUGUCUCACUUGAGUCAUCAUGUUGGUGAGAGCCUCUGACACUGGGUCUGCUCUCUUAGGCUUUAUUAAACCCACCAUAUGUCUGAUAUAUUUUAUUGGUCUCAUUUGUGUUGUGUGAGUCAUUUUCACCAAAUGAUAACUUUACCAAGCAAGGUUUUCAAGUCGAUAAGUCGAGUCGACAAGGUACCGACUUGGUGACUAGACGAUAAGUCAGUUGACUAGUCGUCGACUUGCCAAUAUAGUGGAAAGUUUUGCCUAUAUAAUUGCUUCAUAUAGACAAUAUAGCAUUUAUAUAUGAAGAAAUAGGAUGUUUUACCUCAUUUGAAGCCUGAAAUUGAACGAAACUGAAAUAAACAGCAAGUCUUACCUCAUUUGAAUCCUCAAACUGAACCAAAUCAGACACAUAAGUGAUAAGUCAUAAACUCAUAAGUCAUAACAGCCAUAUAGUUCAAAUUGGAAAACAAAUAGCAAGAAAAUAUAGUUCAAACUUGAAAGGAAAAAAGUCAUAAACUCAUAAGAAAAUAUAAUAGUCCAACCCCUGUGAGGCAGUAGUGUGGCAGUCCCACCUGUCAACAUAGCUGUGGUAGAACAUACCACCACCACUGUCGCUUUUUAAGUAGUGAAGAUUAUUUGGGUGAUACAAUACAGUUUUAUCCAUUUCUGAAGCCAAUUGGAUUUUUUUGUAUUGGCAUUGAUGAAAGUAUGUGAAAUGUAAACUGUAAGUAGUACUUUCAUACGGAUGUCAAAUAUAACAGUCCUAAUUGUGAUGUUAUUAGGGUUACAUUGCUAGAGGACACUAGGACUAGGAUAGUACGUGUUUCAUUAAACCUUGCAAGUAUGUUUGAUUCCACGUUUAUUGGUUUCACAGGCCUGUUCUUAUUGUUUUCAUAUGUAUGAUGUGAUUCUAAAUGUGUAAUUUGUGUUUGCUUAAUUUCUCCUUGUUUAUUUCCUCCCACAUUCAUAUGAAAAAUUGAUAUGAUGGAUCUCACAAGUCUGGCAUCUUUGCAUGCAGGUGAAUGGCGGUGACGUGGAUGUUGGGUGGGCACUCAGAGGGAAUAUGUUACCGUACUCACACAAUAGGCUCAAGAGGGUCCUUAUUUCAGGAGCCAGUGUAUGGGAGGGGCUAAUGGAGCUGGCAUACUACAUUUUUCGGAGUGCCAAUAGACUCGAAAGUAUGGUCUUAGAUCCAAAGAUAAGGAUUGGGGCUCCUCAGCUGGAUGGUUGGAUGAUUGAUAUUGGUAGGGAGACGAUCAAAAAGCUUUUUGAGGGAGAGGAGUUUCAGAGCAUUAUUACUAUUCUGUAAGAAUGGUAAGAUAGGCCACAGGAUUUUAGUGGUCACACCA
rnacentral:lncRNA from 1 species